AAUAAGCACCGGCUAACUCUGUGCCAGCAGCCGCGGUAAUACAGAGGGUGCGAGCGUUAAUCGGAUUUACUGGGCGUAAAGCGUGCGUAGGCGGCUUAUUAAGUCGGAUGUGAAAUCCCCGAGCUUAACUUGGGAAUUGCAUUCGAUACUGGUGAGCUAGAGUAUGGGAGAGGAUGGUAGAAUUCCAGGUGUAGCGGUGAAAUGCGUAGAGAUCUGGAGGAAUACCGAUGGCGAAGGCAGCCAUCUGGCCUAAUACUGACGCUGAGGUACGAAAGCAUGGGGAGCAAACAGGAUUAGAUACCCUGGUAGUCCAUGCCGUAAACGAUGUCUACUAGCCGUUGGGGCCUUUGAGGCUUUAGUGGCGCAGCUAACGCGAUAAGUAGACCGCCUGGGGAGUACGGUCGCAAGACUAAAACUCAAAUGAAUUGACGGGGGCCCGCACAAGCGGUGGAGCAUGUGGUUUAAUUCGAUGCAACGCGAAGAACCUUACCUGGCCUUGACAUACUAGAAACUUUCCAGAGAUGGAUUGGUGCCUUCGGGAAUCUAGAUACAGGUGCUGCAUGGCUGUCGUCAGCUCGUGUCGUGAGAUGUUGGGUUAAGUCCCGCAACGAGCGCAACCCUUUUCCUUACUUGCCAGCAUUUCGGAUGGGAACUUUAAGGAUACUGCCAGUGACAAACUGGAGGAAGGCGGGGACGACGUCA
rnacentral:rRNA from 1 species